GUCUACGGCCACACCACCCUGAAUGUGCCUGAUCUCGCCUGAUCUCGGAAGCUAAGCAGGGUCGGGCCUGGUUAGUACUUGGAUGGAAGACAAUGUAAUUCUUCUUU
rnacentral:rRNA from 1 species